CUCACCUUUCCAUUUGGGUCUCAUUGAUGGGGCUUUGGUUUCUAUUGACUCACAUUUAAUUUCACUGGAUAAGAAACUUCUAAUGUUGGAACUUCUUUCAACUAUGUAUGUGUUACAAAACACCAAAAGAGGGUAUCUCUGCUACUAUUCUUCAUUUUGAAUAAAAUAUUUACAGGAAGGAAACUAUGCAGUUCCCCUAACAGUAUGAAAAUCUAUGAACAUUGAUGGGUGGAGUCUCAAAAUCCCCUCAUAACUUCACAGCCUCUCUCCCCCUGGGAAGAAAGCAAGUGGGGGAGAAAACUAUCUCAUAGCACAUAACAGAGCCAGCACUUGUCAACUUUUUGGAUGAUCCAAACUAGUACUGUUCUUCAUUCAUAAAUACUGAUUCCUGCAUUUCUGAAGACUAUCUCAAGAUCUAGACUACUAUGGAAGAAGUUCUAGUGAGGUGAGACUUGUGAGUAUUUCUGUUGUGAAAGAUCUGGAUACCUAGUUAGUAAUCAUAUGUUUACAAGGGCAUUCUCUCUUAAAUAAGAUAUUUUCUUCUUGUUUCUCUUUUGCUCCAUUUUAUUUAAUACAUAUCAUUGUGCUUAAACCUCAAAAUAACAUCUCAUUUAAUCUUCCAUAAAAACAACUCCAAUUAUUAUUCAGUCAAAUGCAUAUAUUGAAAAUUAACUCCCUUUUAAUCUUCUGUUUCUACAAAGGAUAUUUAGUGAAUUUGACAUUAUUUCUGGCCUCAAGAGUCUUCUGUCUUUUGUUUGCCUGGAGGAGGGAGAGAAAUAUGUAGCAUCUGUAAGAAUAUAAGUGAAUAUAGUAAUGGGUUCAUUGUCUACUGGUCGAGUCUUUCACACUUCUUUCCUUUGCUUACCACUCAAAGUUUCUUCAAUACACUGUGCUUCUUUCUACUUCAGGAUGUUCAGAAACCAAACCUGGUCAAAUUUUUUCAUCCUCUCAGUCUCAAUUUAUGUCUCCUUCUCAGGAAAUCCUCCCUUAUGUUUCCUCAGGCUAGGAGAAGUCUCCUGGUGUUUAAUUGUAUAGGAUCUUUGUUUUUGCUUGAGGAAGAUUAUCCCCGAGCUAACAUCUGUACUAAUUUUCCUCUAUUUUGUAUGUGGAACACCAACACAGGGUGGCUUGAUGAGCAGUGUGUAAGUCCACACCUGGGAUCCAAUGCCACGAUCCCUGGGCCGCUGAAGUGGAGCACGGGAACCUAAUCACUACACCACAGUGCCAGCCCCUAGAUCUUGUUUUUUCUUUUCUACCACUUACAACAACUGUAAUUAACAUUUGUCAUUUUACCCAGACUACAAGUUUCAAGAGUAGGAGUAUCCUGUCUGCCUUUUAAACCACUUUAUCCAAGUUACUAGUGCAGGAUCGGCCUCACGAUAUACUCUAAACAAAUACAAUCGCCCAAUAAAAUAAUAAACACCAAAUACCAAGAAAAGAAUUUCACAGAGUCCGAUGAAGCUUAAAUAAGGGUAAUCUAAUCCAGGCAAGAAUGCAAUAUAUAAAUAAAAAUAGAAUGUUCAACCACACACACACACACACACAUGAAAGUGGUGGAAAAAGGAAGAGAGUUUAAAGGUUUGGGGAAACCCACAUAGGAAAACCACACACUAACACCUGGAAAUGAAAUAGGGGAAGCCAUGUUUUAUAAUUGCAUGUUUUCAUUAGGUCUGAUUGUACUGUUCUGAAAUGUGGAUUUGCUAGACUUUUAUUAUAUCUCACAAACAUAAGAGCCAGUCUAAUAACUCAUUGAAAUAUCUACCAAUGACCCCUACUGUUAAAAAGGAGAGUAUUUUUUUCUUCAUACACAAUGAAGGGGAAAAGAUUAUGGUGGGUCAGAGUGGCAACAAACUACAUCAUUUACAAUUUUUUACCUUUCCUUCUCUCACUUUUUCUUUCUUUCCUGAUUAUUUUAGGAAAAACAUGAUUCAAUACAGGCAACCAAUCACUGAAACAAAAUACAACUUUAAAUUACCUGAAAUUCCAGCAUCCAGAUUAUACCACAUGUAUAUCCUUUCAGAUUUUCACUGCUUAGGUAUAUACAUAAUUUUUCUGAAAAUAGUGUCCAACGUUAUUUAAUAUUCCAUAAUCGAUUUUAUUUUUUAAUGUAUUAUAACCAUCCUACACAUCCAUAAAUAGAGAAAGAAAUAAUGACUUAAAAAUUAAAAUGCUCAAAUGCAUGGAUGUCCUUAAAUGUAUUAAAAAAAAUCCCAUGUAGUAUAAAAUUUCUAUAUCCUCUAUUAUAAUUAUCUCUGUAAUGAAUAUACUUCUAUUCUCUAUUGUCCUAGUAUGUCACUCCAAGUAGUUGUAUAAUUUUUUUCAUUUGGGUCCUGUACCUCUCUUGUCAGGUUGCAUUCUAUGCUACUAUUGUUGCUUUCAUAUAUAAUUAUAUUAUCACUGAUUAACGUGCUUGGGGAAAGUGCUUUCCUGUGUUAUGUUAAAUUGGUCACAUUGAUGAGAAGUCAGAUACAAGCAAAGAUUGCUGUGUGUACUAUUCCAGCUCACACCAUUCUAAGUAUUUUUGGUCUGAGGCAGUAGCCAAUGUGGCUCCAUGGUCUUGUUUUUAUGAAGCCCAUGGCCUAACCUUGCCUCUCACACUUCCUCCUAUAGAUUAGACAACUUUCUCUCCAUAAAGUAUCCUGAAUCAACUCAUAUGAUCUCAAGCCACUGUGGAUAGAAGGGAAUGGAGACAAACUAAUCCAUUCCCAGGUUUUCUGUUAGCAUGCUGAUUCCUAAAGACCUGACAUUGAGAAGUGCAGUGUAUUCAUGUUGAGGGCCAUGUUUCCAACAAUAGUGCCCUGAGAUUCUUUGCAUUAAAUGACUUAAGGAGGUCGACCAGCACAUGUGUUUCUCACUUCUCAUAACACAGCAUUAUUUCUUGGGAAUGGGCACUAUGAGUUGGGCUCUCAAAAUGACCCAGUGUACAUCAGUUACAACUGAAAAUUGAUAUCUGUGGCUUAUGGUGGACAUCAGUCUCCAUUUUUAGUGCUAUUCAAGAUGAGGUUUGGGUUCUUUUUUACUAUUUUUAUUUUAUUUUGUCAUUUAAGUGGUUAAAGAUAUAUUUGAAUUUACUAUUUUAUUACAUAAAGAGCAAACAAAAUUUCCAGGAUCAAUAUUCUUUACAAAUACGCUUCAGGAACAGCUGUGAAAGGGUUCUUCAAGUUGCAUAAGGCAAGCCUUCAAAUUUUUGUUCAACUUUCUCUUCCAAUACAUAGGAUUAAAAGUAUUGACUUGACAAAGUGAGCUUUGCGUGGUGAUUGAAUAUGAAAAAUCAGGACUAUCUUGACUAUUGAUGGUUAGGUGAAAUUUUCCCAUAGGAUAUGGGAUUAGGCACCCUAUUAAUACACAUUCUUUCAAGAUAUCUCCGUGGAAGGGCUGUAGAAAAAGAUUCAUUAGGCAAGCUUGACAUUUAAUCAUAGGAUUAUCUAUUUUUUGCCACGAGGAUCAAUGACAAGAGGAAAACAGUCGAUAUUCAUAUAUAUGAGAUACAAUCUUUUUAAGCCCCAACUGAACUACAUCAAUAAUCAUUUUAUUUUCAUUUGAGUAAUGCAUUCUCAAUCAAGCUUGGAUUCUGGUUGUGACAUGUCAUCAGAGUAAGAAUGGAUUGGCUACUAUUCCCUGGGGUAUAAAUACAUUCAACAGAGUCUGAGAUCUUUAGUGACUUCUCUUCUUACUGGUGUGAACAAACAGUGAUUCUUGCAUUUCUGGUGAAGAUCUCAAGAUCUACAGACCAGAGUAGAAGUUUCACAUUAGGCUCAUCCAUAACUUGAGACAUGGUGAAUGAAUACAUGAAAAUUGUUCUGCUGAAAGGAUUAGAGCACAUCAAUGAUUAUUAUUUUAAUGUAGUCAAGUCCCUACUGGCCCAUGAUUUGGGAUUGACUACAAAAAUGCAAGAUGAAUAUAACAGAAUUAAGAUUGCUCAUCUAAUAGAAGAAAAGUUCCAAGGUGCUGCCUGUGUGAACAAACUAAUAGAAUUGUUAAAAGACAUACCAGAAUUUAAAGGCCUUUUUAAAAAACCUAGAAAGGAGAAGCAAAAAGAAAAAGAAAAAGACAGCCAAAGAAAAUACUGCAACCAAAAGGAUUAAGGUGUUCCAGGAGCAUGUUCAUCCUUCCUGUCCUGCAGGAGCCAGCACAUCUGAAACCACUGGCUGUCCCUUGCUUCCUCAGAUCUCAUCAUCAGCUCCAUCCUCCACUUCCAUAACUUAGGCACGGACAGCCCAAAGUGGCCAGGUGGCUGCCUUAACUUCCAGUUCAAUGGAAUCAUUGUUGUGUCUCCUGGUGAAAGCAUUCCUCCUUGUGGAAUUAAGACCUCUAUGCCAGCAGAGCAUCAGUUCAUGGGGACAGAAAGCAAAAAUUUUGCUAGCAGAUCACUAACAGUAAUAGUAAAUGAUACUCCCAUUUCCACUCCUUGAUUCCUGGACCUGUGAUCCUGGCUUCUAAAGAACCUGUAAAGUAAGUUCGUUGAUCAGAAGCAAUGCUGUUUGGAAUACAUGAUGGUGGUUAAGACAUUCUGUAAAUCCAUAGUUGGUAGUCUAGGCAGAAGCACUGCAUGCAGAGAAUGCGAAUUCAUAUCCAGAAUAAGUGGCUCUUAUGGUAAGAACAUAAUGCUGCCCCUUCCAUGAUAAAAGUGGCCCAAUGUAAUCAACCUGCCAUCAGGUAGCUGAUUGAUCACCUUGGGGAAUGGUGCCAAUACUGAAAUCACUCAGUGUUGGUCUCUGCUUCUUGCAGUUUGGGCUGUCAGCAGUGGCCCUACCAAGUCACCUUUAGUGGAAGUCCAUGUUGCUGAGCCUAUGCAUAACCUCCCUCCCUGCCACCAUCACCACCUUGUUCCUGAGCCCAUUGGGCAAUGGCAGAGGUGACUGGGGAAAGAGGCUGGCUGAUAUCUGCAGAACAGGUCAUCCUAUCCACUUGAUUAUGCAAAUCCUCCUAUGCUAGGGUCAUCCUUUGGUAAUCAUUCACAUGGGACACAAGCAUUUUUUCCCCCAUUUAGAGAGAUCUAUCCACAUACCUCUUCCCCAGAUGUCUUUGUCACCAAUUUUUCAAUCAUAUUCCUUCCAAGUCCCUGGUAAUCAACCAAACCGUUGGUCACAGUCCAUGAAUCUCUAUAUAAUAAUGUUUGACUCACUUCUCCUUCCAAGAAAAGUAAGCAACCAGGUGAACUGCUCAAAGUUCUGCCUACAAGGAGGAUUUCCCCUCACCACCAUCCUUCAGGGAUGUCCCAGAGAGGGCUUGUAGUGCUACAGUGAUCCACUUCUAGGUGGUUACUGAAUAUCAUGCAGAACCAUCUGUAAACCUGGUCUGAGUUUUCCCUUCUUCUGUCAACCGACCAUAAGGAACUUCCCAUGAGACCACAGGUGCAGGCAGGGUGAGAGAAGGUAGCGUAGCAGGAGAGGAGACCAUGGACAUUUAGGCCAUUUAAUCAGGUAACUUACUUGUAUAUUCAGGGCUUAUUGGAACUUGGGUCUAGUUAUAAGUCUAGAAGCAAAGAAGGAUGGUGGGGUGAGUCCUAAGGAGAAUCAGUACUGUCUUGCAAGGCAACUUUUUUCCAGCAAAGCAGGACUAACUUCCUCAGAUGGGGAGGAGUGGCUGUUUUUACUGAUAAAGAAGACUCAUCAGAAUUUAGGGGCUUAGUGUCUCCAGCUUCAUCAGGAUCUUCCCAUAUGUCCCCAUUCCAAUUCUCAGAAUCUCAUUCUUUACCAAUCAAUAGCCUCACUAGAUAUCCUGUAAGGUUGGGAAUUCAAUUUGCAUUGCAAUUCAGUCACUCACUGGACGAGAUUCUACAUUUGCUUAUCCGCAGUCUCAGCUCUGCAGCUACAGGAGGUAAGGGUCUAUUUCAAGACAGACAUAGAAGCUUUCAGGUCAUUUAUGCAGCACUUGAGCUGGGAAUUUAAAUUCUUGAGCUCAUCAUUUUCUUUCCCUACUUUUUCAGGUGAAAUCAGGAGCAAGAAGCCAGUCUCACUAUACUUGUUAGUUUGACAAAAAUGUUCAAAGGUAUCAUAUAAACGAUCAUCCAGAAAUUUGUCUCAGAAGUAUUUGAUCAUGAGUAUUCAAUGAUGAUAUUUUUCAUAUUUCUGUUGCCACAUCAUGCCAUGGAAUAUUCACACUCUUUACUAUUGGAAAUAGAAUUAUUAACG